rnacentral:rRNA from 1 species
AUUGAACGCUGGCGGCAGGCCUAACACAUGCAAGUCGAGCGGAUGAAGGGAGCUUGCUCCUGGAUUCAGCGGCGGACGGGUGAGUAAUGCCUAGGAAUCUGCCUGGUAGUGGGGGAUAACGUCCGGAAACGGGCGCUAAUACCGCAUACGUCCUGAGGGAGAAAGUGGGGGAUCUUCGGACCUCACGCUAUCAGAUGAGCCUAGGUCGGAUUAGCUAGUUGGUGGGGUAAAGGCCUACCAAGGCGACGAUCCGUAACUGGUCUGAGAGGAUGAUCAGUCACACUGGAACUAAGACACGGUCCAGACUCCUACGGGAGGCAGCAGUGGGGAAUAUUGGACAAUAGGCGAAAGCCUGAUCCAGCCAUGCCGCGUGUGUGAAGAAGGUCUUCGGAUUGUAAAGCACUUUAAGUUGGGAGAAAGGGCAGUAAGUUAAUACCUUGCUGUUUUGACGUUACCAACAGGAUAAGCACCGGCUAACUUCGUG